GUCAAGUAGAAAAGGGCGCAUGGUGAAUGCCUUGGCACUAGAAGCCGAUGAAGGACGUGACGAACCACGAAAGGCUUCGGGGAGCAGUAAGUAAGCAAUGAUCCGGAGAUAUCCGAAUGGGGGAACCCAAUACCGCGAGGUAUUAUCAUUAACUGUUAAGGUUAAUGAAGGAAGACGCAGUGAACUGAAACAUCUAAGUAGCUGCAGGAAGAGAAAGAAAAAUCGAUUUCCCAAGUAGCGGCGAGCGAACAGGAAAGAGCCCAAACCAGCUGGCUUGCCAGUUGGGGUUGUAGGACUGCGAUAUAGUACUUGAAGUGAUAGCAGAAUUAUCUGGGAAGAUAAGCCAGAGAGGGUGAAAGCCCCGUACGCGAAAUUGCAGAGAGACUUAGCAGGAUCCUUGAGUAGGUCGGGACACGAGGAAUUCCGAUUGAAACCGCGAGGACCAUCUCGCAAGGCUUAAUACUAACUAGUGACCGAUAGUGAAC
rnacentral:rRNA from 1 species